rnacentral:lncRNA from 1 species
GCAUGAGCCACUGCGCUUGGCUGUUUUUUCCUCCUCCUCCUCCUCCUCCUCCUCCUUUACAGGCGUGAGCCACUGCAACUGGCUGUUUCCUCCUCCUCCUUUGCAGGCUUGAGCCACUGUGCCUGGCUGUUUCUUCCUCCUCUUUCUCCUUUACAGGCGUGAGCCACCACGCCUGGCUGUUUCCUCCUGCUCCUCCUCCUCUUCCUCUUCCUUUACAGGUGUGAGAGCCACCAGGCCUGGCUGUUUCUUCCUUCUCCUCCUCCUCCUCAUUCUCCUCCUCCUUUACAGACCUGAGCCAGGGAGCCUGGCUGUUUCUUCCUCCUACUCCUCCUCUACAGGUGUAAGCCACCAAGCCUCGCCGUUUCCUUCUCCUCCUCCCUCUCCUCCUUCUCCCCCUCCUCCUCUUCUCCCCCUCCCUCCUCCCCCUCCUUUCCUCCUCCUCCCUUCUUCCUUUCCUCCUCUUCCACCUCCUUCUCCACCUCCUCCUCCUCCACCUCCUUCUCCUCCUCCUCCACCUCCUUCUCCUCCUCCUCUCCUCCUCCUCCCCUCCUCCUCCUCUCCUCCUCCCCCUCUCCUCCUCUCCUCC